rnacentral:lncRNA from 1 species
GAGAAGGCUCCAAGGAGACAUUUUAAUAGACAAAAAUAUAUAUAUAUGUUUUGUUACUUAUAUUCAUUAACUAUAUUGUAUGUUCUGUAUGUGGCCCAAGACAAUUCCUCUUCACUGAAUGCAGCCCAGGCAAGCCAAAAGGCUGGACGCCCGAGCUCUAGCCUGUGCCUUUGAAGCGCUGACAACGCUGCAGCUUUGCAUCGCUGUAAAGAGACAUCAAAGCACGCGGCUUUGCAUCGUUGCAAAAAUUGCAAAGCGGCGGAAGAAGGCGAGAGGCGCGACGGCUCACAUCUCCGCCUCCAGCAGCCCCAGCCCCGGCCCCGGCCGGCAGCGCGCUGCGGCGCCGCGCGGCUCGCUGGGAAGCGUAGUCCCGGGCUCGGCGCGUGGGGUCGCUUCCUGUUGUCGGCGCAGGGCGCUGCCGGAGCCGCGCUGCCGCAGUGUCAUGGAUGCUAAAGGCAUGAGGGAACUGGCCGCAUUAUGAGAUGAAAUGGCAUGAUUUCUUCUUCUUUGCAUGAGCAUGCAUGUGUGUCCAGGUAUACAACAGGCCUCAAGCUCAGAACUGAUCUAGAUUUAAAACACCUCAUUCUGUCAUACCAUUCAGUGCCAUCCUUUUUUAUCUUUUGCCAUCUCUAGUUCCCAUUUAUCUUUCCCUCAGCCUAACAUAUAAAAUAUCAGGAAACAAUUGCACUGGAAAAGCAGAUACUUCUACAAUUUUUGUUUUAAAAAUAGGCCCUGGCUGAGGAAUUCUUGAGCAGGUAGCAGGAGUGAGAGCUGUUAAGCCAUUAUGUUUGUUCAGCUGAACAUGAGACUGCAGCAAGUCCCAUGUGAGGACUGUGAUUCAGUUGAAGAAAAUAUAAUUCAAUUUGCUUAAAAGUGAUCUGUUUCCUAUUGUUUGGCUUGGAGUGUUCUGAAUGCAUGCAAUACAUAAUUAUUAAUGCUUUAUUAAAGCAGUCAUUAUCUUUAAUUCAAAGAGCCUGGACAUGAUACACUGCUGUAAUUCAAUCUUUGUUCUUGUUCUGGGAAAUACAAUGGAAAACUGCGUAUGUAUUUGCUAUAAGCUUUGAAGUAAUUCAUUGAAACAGUAGUGUCUAAUAAUUCCGUUAAAUUGUUAUCAGCUCUUCUGUUGCUAAUUGAAAUUACAGUUCUUUUAAAAAUCAGUGGUCUUAGAGUGGAACAGUGCUGUGAAGAAUGUAGGGUAAGACCUACGCAUAAAUAUACUUAACAUUACUUUCCACAUGGUGGAUUUGUUUUUAGCUGUGGUAGCUCAAAAGAAAUUGAGAUCCUGAGCCUCACUUCUUACAGACUUUUUUUAGUCCCAGUGUAAAAGCAACAUCCAUCAUAGUGCUUUAAUUUAUAUUGGCUGUUGCUGUAGUAGAAGAAUCAGAGCACAAAGGUUCAUUGAACGCUUUACUUAAAUGUGGAGGGUGUUUUGAAAUUGUUAUGUCUGCUGUACUUGACCAGUGAUGUUUGCAUUACGAAAC